rnacentral:rRNA from 1 species
AAAGCAGGGGAUCGUAAGACCUUGCGCUUUUGGAGUGGCCGAUGCCUGAUUAGCUAGUUGGUGGGGUAAGGGCCUACCAAGGCAACGAUCAGUAGUUGGUCUGAGAGGACGACCAGCCACACUGGGACUGAGACACGGCCCAGACUCCUACGGGAGGCAGCAGUGGGGAAUUUUGGACAAUGGGCGAAAGCCUGAUCCAGCAAUGCCGCGUGAGUGAAGAAGGCCUUCGGGUUGUAAAGCUCUUUCAGUCGAGAAGAAAAGGUUGUGACUAAUAAUCACAACUUAUGACGGUACCGACAGAAGAAGCACCGGCUAACUACGUGCCAGCAGCCGCGGUAAUACGUAGGGUGCGAGCGUUAAUCGGAAUUACUGGGCGUAAAGGGUGCGCAGGCGGCUUUGUAAGUCAGAUGUGAAAUCCCCGGGCUUAACCUGGGAAUUGCGUUUGAAACUACAAAGCUAGA